ACAGCAUAGUACAGUGUUAGCACUUAAAGACUAAGGACUAAGGAUACGGAAAAGUUGACAAAUGCCUGAACUAGGAGUUCCUGUGUUUCAGGCAGAAUAGGACCAUAUUAAUUAAUUUGUAAUUAUUCACCUAAUUAUAAUAGUGUGUACUAUCACACUAAAAAUCUGGUAAGGUGACAACCUUAACAAAAUAACUUAUUUAAGUAUUCUAUAUCAAAGUACAGUGAGUAAUCAUUUUACGACUAUUAGUAAAUUCUCUGUCUCCUCCUUCUUCCUCGCGUUGUCCCGGCAUUUUGCCACGGCUCAUGGGAGCCUGGGGUCCGCUUGACAACUAAUCCCAAGAUUUGGCGUAGGCACUAGUUUUUACGAAAGCGACUGCCAUCUGACCUUCCAACCCAGAGGGGUAAACUAGGCCUUGUUGGGAUUAGUCCGGUUUCCUCACGAUGUUUUUCUUCACCGAAAAGCGACUGGUAAAAUAAAUAUCAAAUGAUAUUUCGUACGUAAAUCGUUUCGUAUUAGUAAGUUCUCUGUAUCAUCUCUGAAUGUACUAGCAUUAAUCGAACAUCUCGCUUAAUCUGCUUAAAAACGGCGAAUGCUAGAUGUUCUGUUACAAAGCAUGCUCAAGUGUAUCAGCACCCUAAGCAAAGCUUUUAAGUUGCUGAUGGCUUCCUUAAGUGUGUGUGGAGGCUUAUUUCUGUAUACCUUUUUUUUAUACCACGACGGUGGCAAGCAAGCAUACGGCCCGCCUGAUGGGAAGCACCGUAGCCUAUGGACGCCUGCAACUCCAGAGGUGUUACAUGCGCGUUGCCGACCCUUUAAAAAUCUGUACACUGAGAGAACUUCAUACUGUAGAUCCUCGGGAAAACCUCGGCAGGUAGCUCAUUCCACAACCGGACCGUGCGCGGGAGGAAGUUCCUCUUAAACCGCACAGUGCGUGACCAUUUAGAUUCUAGGGUGUGAGGAUGAACACCCUGCCGACGGCGGGCGGUGCGGUGAUACCUACUUGCAUAGAACCCAGAAGAAUGUGUUUUAUUGUUUCCUCUGUUUCUAUGCAUGCUCUGAACAUGGAGCUGUCUUUUUUUUUGUCAGUACUAUAGAUAUGUAUAUUUAAUGUGUUAAAAUGUCCUAUGAAUAAGCUUGCUAUUGUGAGUAGUUGGUGUUUAUGUUUUCUUAAUAGUAAAUAUAUUUGUGAGUUUGUUAAUUUGUCCCGACAAUAUAUUUUUUGAUCUGCCUACAUGUGUCCAAUACAUCCCAGUAUAUUUGGUAGUAAUUGUUGUUUUGUGUAUUUAAUAUACACUAUUUAGCUCAUAUAAAAAAAUAAAAAAUAGAGUAACUACUUGGUAAAUGAUGCAAUGUCAUUUGUAUGAGAGUCAUCGGUAGAAACGUCUAGUUUUUUUUUUCUGAGUUUUGUAUUGACAUGUUAUAUUCUUCUUCAGUGAUUCCUUCAAUGUUGAGCCGUGACAUCAUGUCCUUCUGUUGAAGCCCAGGUUCCUCCAUAGGUUCCUCGUCUAGUGCAGUUUUUAUUGCAUUGGUGUAGUAAUAUGAGCACACCACCGUCCUAACAGGGGGAAAGCCCUGAGGUACACUAAGCUGCAGAUUUAAGUGACCCUACCUGCUAAGAAAUUUGUUUGCAGACUUGGGGGUCACUUAGCUCUGCAGCUUACUAGACAUUGAUAUGAUAUUGUUGACCCCAUAUAUUAUGAAUAGUAUAAAAAUAGUACCUCAUACUCAAAAAAAAUCCUAUAGAUCUGCUUAAAACAAAGAAAAGAGUUUAUAGGCCAAUAAAACACAUAAACUUAUUCAAUUACUUCGGCUUCCGAAAAUGGCAGAUAAUUAUCGAAGUAUCGAGCAGACGUGAAUUUACCGGGCGGCUUUUACGCCUCUAUUCCGCCACAAAACAAACAGUUUUCUUCCAAUUCACAGUCGAUGCUUUUACAAAUAGGCCAAUCUAAACGUGUGUACCUGAAUGAUGUUAUUUACUUGUCGUGCGUCUCGCUCGCGCCAAAACAUGUACGGACAAGUACGAAAAAAAUGCACGAUAACUGAACGAACAGUUACAUACCAUUCUGAUAUCAGUGUACGUUCGGAUUGGCCUGAAAGUCAAGUGGCUCCUUUCUUUACUCGCUUUUGUACUUAGCUUCGCCGUAUAUAGUAUUGUUUGUGUGAGUGUUUCUACAUUUGACACGAUCUUCUUUGUUAAAUUUAACACUUUCCGGUUUCUGACUGAGCUGAGACUUUGUAUAUUUCAGUAAAGUAGAAGUUGGAAUACAUGAAUACAUACUAUUGAUGUAUAUGGCGAAAAGAAAAACGACCGGAAUCGAUAGAAAAACACAAACACAACCCACUUUAAGCUCAUUAAUAAGGAAGAAUAGAUUUGCAAAUAACAGGAGAUACAAUCAGAUAGCACUUAAAGCGUUCAUUGAAACAAUAAAUAGCAACUUAUUACUUUAAAUCGUACAAUAUGUAUAUAAUAUCAGUAUGAUAGAGAUGUCGCGAUGACACGUACCAUACAACACAACGAGAUGCCCGGGCGUGUGAUGUCAAAAUGGAAAGAAAUUCAUGAGAGUUUCUAAGUUCAAUCGCCUUCAAUGACUUUUUAAAACUAAGGCCUACGAUCACCUCGUGAGGUAACGCUUAAGUAACUGUACAUGCUUAAAAAAUAGGUUCUUCAACAAAUUUCAAAUCGUAUCGUGGCGUUCUAAGAAUAGUGACUUUAUAAAAUGAAGGCCUACGAUCACCUCAUGGGGUAACGCUUAAAGUACAUGUAAAUGCUAAAAAAAUAGGUUCUUCAUCAAAUUUCAAAUCGUAUCGUGGCGUUCUAAGAAUAGUGACUUUAUAAAAUGAAGGCCUACGAUCACCUCAUGGGGUAACGCUUAAAGUAAAUGUAAAUGCUAAAAAAAUACGUUCUUCAUCUAAUUUCAAAUCAUAUUGUGGCGUUCUUAGAAUAGAGCCCCCGCUCUGAUUAAAAAAAAGGUUUAUGUUAUCGCUGCCCCCCGGAAAAUGGGAGUAAAAAGUUAAAUUGAAACUUGCAAAAUUCAUUAGAGAAACUCAGCGCCGGGAGCAUGACACGUUUCAAACGGAAUAUAUUAUUUGAUUGUCACCUGCAAUCUAAAAUUAAAUAAAAAUUAGAAAGAAGCGAAAUGAACAAACGGAAAAAUUUAUCUUUUGGAUGUUGUACGGCAGAAUGUUUUGAGUAAAUAUAUUUCUAUUACAUAAAUCUCUAACACUGCGAACCAACAGGCUACGACAUUUUUCCCGCUUUAUUAUGAUAAUAAAAACUACGUUACGUACGAACGUAUGUUAAAACGCUUUAUGUUAAGUCCCGUUUAACAACCCGGCUCAAUCUAGUCGGCAAUGGGCGUAACAUUAUAUCAGAUUCAAAAGCGCUUAGUACUUUUCUGUUCUGGGCAAGCCUUUGCAGUAGGCAGUUAAAUAAAGCGGUUCUGAGGUUUUUAUGUGUAUAAGAGAUUGUUUUAGAUUUUUGUUUUAUUGCGUGUGAGAGUAAUUGCAAUCAUAGCAAAUUCUGUAUUUCUUAAUUUAAUUAAGUUUUUUGUAUUAGUCUUGGACCAGGUUGUAUACCUAUGGCCCGAUUUGAAGAAUGAUUAAGACACGUUUAAUCUUGGAAAGAUCUUUAAAAGAUCGAUAACUAAACGACAUUUCAAAAUUGACGUUUAUUUCCGCUGUGAUCCCAGUACGAUCUAUCUACGAUAUUUCUAACGUCAAAGUGUCAUUGGUUGCCCGAAUCGAGCUGCUUCUGUCAAUUAUACGACAUACAAACGAUAUCUAAAUGAGAACUUAUCUAAACCAGAACUUAUCGUUAUCGUAUCUCAUUCUUCGAAUCGGACCGCUAUGGUCCUUAAUAAUAAAUGGUGGUGGCUGCACGCAAGAGAUUCGCCGACGUGCUGGAAUGGCUAAAAGUGAUAUGACUAACCUCAAAAAGUUGUGGAAGAAUCGAGGUAUAGGCCUUGGUACCAGGGUACGAUUAGUUCCGCACUGGUAUUCUCCAUGUUUAUGUACGGUACCUGGUGCUUCAAAAGCUUGGACAAAAGCAAAAUCGAUGCUUUCGAGAUGUGAUGUUGGAGAAAGAUGGUAUCCCAUGGACAGCAAUGAGGACAAAUGCGCCCAUUCUGAGAGAACUAAAAAUCACCAAACGACUUUCAAUAAUCUGCCAGGAGAGGGAUGUCAGGAGAGGGCUCUCAGAUUAUUUGGGCUCAUAAUGUGAUCGCCACACCACAGCCUCGAACGUGACAUUAUACUGGGUCAAGUUGAAGGCAAGCGCGCUAGAUGAAGUGCCACUGUAAAUGGUCGGAUUCCAUAAGACAAGCAUGUGGUUCCAUGCAGAGGGCAGCCACAUAGCCCUUGAUCGCGUUAUAUGGAGGGACGAUCCUCAGGCAUGAGGGAACGACGAAGGCAGAAGAAGUAUUGAUCUUUUUUGUU